CCUACGGGGGGCUGCAGUAAGGAAUAUUGGUCAAUGGACGAAAGUCUGAACCAGCCAUCCCGCGUGCAGGAUGAAAGCCCUAUGGGUUGUAAACUGCUUUUAGCAGAGAAGAAAAGCUUUCAUUAAUGAGAGUCUGACGGUAUCUGCAGAAUAAGCACCGGCUAACUCCGUGCCAGCAGCCGCGGUAAUACGGAGGGUGCGAGCGUUAUCGGGAAUUACUGGUGUGAAAGGGUGCGAAGACGGAGUUGUUGAAAUCUUGUCGCUUAACGAUAAAAUUGCCAAUGAUACUGGUACUCUUGAAUUGGGUUGAGGUUAGCGGAAUGUGACAUGUAGCGGUGAAAGGCAUAGAUAUGUCAUGGAACACCAAUUGCGAAGGCAGCUAACUGGGCCUUGAUUGACGCUGAGGCACGAAAGCGUGGGUAGCGAACAGGAUUAGAUACCGCUGUAGUC
rnacentral:rRNA from 1 species